GUCCACGCCCUAAACGAUGUCAACUGGUUGUUGGGAGGGUUUCUUCUCAGUAACGUAGCUAACGCGUGAAGUUGACCGCCUGGGGAGUACGGCCGCAAGGUUGAAACUCAAAGGAAUUGACGGGGAACCCGCACAAGCGGUGGAUGAUGUGGUUUAAUUCGACGCAACGCGAAAAACCUUACCUACCCUUGACAUGUCUGGAAUUUUGCAGAGAUGUGAAAGUGCUCGAAAGAGAGCCAGAACCACGAGGUGCUGCAUGGCCGUCGU
rnacentral:rRNA from 1 species